UCCCUACUAUCUCAGCUGGUAAAGAAUCUGCCUGCAAUGCGGGAGACCUGGGUUCACUCCCUGGGUUGGGAA
rnacentral:tRNA from 1 species